rnacentral:lncRNA from 1 species
AACUCAUAAAAAUAUAUUCUUCGUCAUAUUUAAUAGAUAUUAAUUUUAGAAUCUCUAAACUUGUAUUUUUUAAUGUUAAUUAACUAUGAUUCGAAUUUGGGACCUCGAUUAUCAACUAUAAAUCAAGUCCUUUAUCACUUACGCUAAAGGUGGUCGAUAUUUCUAAACUUGUAUUUUAAACUUAAAACACUCAUAUAACAAUACUUUGUCCUUAUAUCUCAACUCCAUUUUUUAUGUUAAUCCAAUAUUUCCUUUAUGUGCAAUUUGCGUAAGCCUCCUUUACACCUUUCUCACAAUUAAAUGGCGCACAUCUAAAGGUGUCCAAAAUAUCCGAUAUCCCAUACCCGAUCCAGACCCUACCCGGACCCGAACCGGACCCGAUAAAAAAUGAAUAGUAUACGGAUAAAAAAAAUUACCCAUUAAAAUUUCGGGUAUAGGUCUGGAUAUUUUAUACCCAUACCCGAUUUGGACCCGACCCGAACCUAACUUUUAAAUGGGUAGGGUCCGAAAUAGUUUUCAAAUCCGAACCCGGACCCGGACCCGAUGAAAUAUCCGAUAGUAAAUAAAAAAAAAAAAACUUUUGAAGUUGAAGGACCAAUUUUAAUAUGACUUAUAGAUGAUGAGUUACUAUGUAUUUUCAUCCUAAUGAAAUCCUAGCCGUCUCUUUUACUCAUUACUUUUUUCUAAUUUUUUUACUCUUUGUUUUCUACUCUUUUUUUUCAUUUCAUUUCCGCCAACAAUAUUUCAUUGUCAAAAAUAUAGUUUGUUUAUUGACUAUUUAAUAAAGUUUAUAAAAAAAUAUAUUUAUACGGAUAUCCGUAUCCGAUUUAUAUCCGAUCCAUAUCCGAUUUUGAACGGGUAGUAUACAGGUAGUCACUAUCCAGACCUGCUCAAAUAGACCCGAUGGGUAUAUUAGAAACUUUAGUACCCAGACCCGGAUCCGACCCGAAGUUAAAUGAGUAGGGUAUAUAUAUUUUUUUGUAACCAUUUCUUUUUAGGGUAUGGGUACAGUAUUUUAAUUACCCAGACCCAACCCGGUCCACGGACAUCUUUACGCACAUCUAGGGAUGCAAACGGAACCGGGCUUCCGCCACGAUCUGCCACGAAUGGGGCAAUAAACUAGGAGAAAUAAACAGAUUCGGAGUAGGAAACGAGAUAAUUUUUAUGAUCCGAGACAAAUUCGGAACAGUGAAUGGAAAAUUUUUUGAUCCACUUCGAAUCUAUCCCGAAUUCAUCCCGCCACGAGCCGCCCCGAAUUUGCCCCAAAAAGCUGCUUAUAUUUUAAGAUGUCCCUAAAAAAUAAUAUAUUUAUAAAAAAGUUAAAAAUAUAAAUAAAUUAUUGCUCUCAUUUAUCAUGUAUUUGAAACUUUUGAAUUUGUUUCGAAUAAUUAAUAUUGUUAUUUUUAUAAUUUAUAUAUAUAUAUAUAUAUAUAUAUAUAUAUAUAUAUAUAUAUAUAUAUAUAUAUAUAUAUAUAUAUAUAUAUAUAUAACUUAAUAAUAUUAUUCAUUAUUAUUAAAAAAUAUUAAUUUAUAUUUUAUAAAAUAUUAAUAAUAUUAUAAUUUUUUAAAUAAUUAUUAAUUGGCAAGACAGAUUCGGGGUGCCGACGGAAGGUGGGUUGUGAGGCGGAGCGGAGUAUGGAAUAUAUUUUUUAAAUCCGUUAUAGGUUCGGGAUGGAGGAGGGGCGUGAUUUUGACAGUCGGCACGGGAGGCAGGACUGGGCUCCCGCCCCAGAUCUGUCCCAGAUCCAGC